AAAGCGGUCAAGCCAAGCCCCCGCUGCACGCAACUGCGUCGAUCCACUACGAGCCGCCGUAGCCUCGAGCGGGGUUACUGGGUUCACGUAGCGUGCAGUACGAGUCCGACGAUCACGGAAUUUUCAAACGCUGGCGCCCGCUUUCGAAGCAGCUGCUGGGACGAGAUGCACACGCAACUUCGCUGCCGAGCACGCCGAUGUUGAGAGGUCGUCGGCGCGAGCGCAGGAUUACCGGUACUUCACGUCAACAGAGCUCACACCAUGUCUGAGUGCCCAUGGGCGCUUCAGUGGCGUUCACACGGCUACUUCUCAAGUACGGGUACUUGGGCAAGACCACGUACAGGCCGUGCGGCACACUUCUCCGUGACAACCUGAGACGGGAAUGGCGGCGACACAUUCUGCGAUCAGCCGAGGCCACUGUGCUACCCAUGGAAGAAGCCUGGCCGGACCAAAUAAAUGCCGACUCAU